rnacentral:rRNA from 1 species
AUUGAACGCUGGCGGAAUGCUUUACACAUGCAAGUCGAGGGGUAACUAGAGUGAUAGCAAUUUUACUUUGGCUAGACCGGCGCACGGGUGCGUAACACGUAUGCAACCUACCUUAUACUGGGGAAUAACUUCGAGAAAUCGGCGCUAAUACCCCAUAACAUUGCGAAGAGGCAUCUCUUUGCAAUUAAAGCUCCGGCGGUAUAAGAUGGGCAUGCGUCCAAUUAGCUAGUUGGUGAGGUAACGGCUCACCAAGGCUACGAUUGGUAGGGGUUCGGAGAGGAUGAUCCCCCAAACUGGUACUGAGACACGGACCAGACUCCUACGGGAGGCAGCAGUGAGGAAUAUUGCGCAAUGGACGAAAGUCUGACGCAGCCAUGCCGCGUGCAGGAUGACGGCCCUAUGGGUUGUAAACUGCUUUUGUACGGGAAUAAACCCUUCUACGUGUAGGAGGCUGAAGGUACCGUAAGAAUAAGCACCGGCUAACUCCGUGCCAGCCGCCGCAGUAA